CCUGACUCAAUAAAUAAAUAAAUAAAUUUUAACUAUACAGAGAAGAUUAACACAGCCCCUGUGUGAGGCUGAGAUUCAACUUCAUGCUAUAUUCCAUAUUUAA